GCCUUACAACCUGGAUAGCUCAGUUGGUUAGAAUGUGGUGCUGAUGAUGCCAAGGUUGCAGGUUCAAUUCCCGUAUGGGACA
rnacentral:tRNA from 1 species